rnacentral:rRNA from 1 species
AGCGCAGGUGGUUUAUUAAGUCUGGUGUAAAAGGCAGUGGCUCAACCAUUGUAUGCAUUGGAAACUGGUAGACUUGAGUGCAGGAGAGGAGAGUGGAAUUCCAUGUGUAGCGGUGAAAUGCGUAGAUAUAUGGAGGAACACCGGUGGCGAAAGCGGCUCUCUGGCCUGUAACUGACACUGAGGACUCCGAAAGGCGUGGGAGCAAACA